GUAGCGGUUAGCGCUACGCAGCGCUACGAACCCGGCGACCCGAGUUCGAUUCCAGCUCACGGCCAACACCGGUGACGAUUAUCUGAACCGGUCCAGGGCCCUUCCCCUAGGUCGACUCGGCGUCAAAUGAGUACCUGUGUAAAACAUCGCCACUGGGGAGACAAAGACGGCCGCGCGUGGUGCUGGCCACCCACCCCCUCGUGUGCCGUGCCGGCCUUCAUAGGUGCUGCUCGCUAACAGCACUUGCCCCUACAGUCUGUUAAGGCUACACGGGGGAUCUUUGUGUCGUGCACCCGGCACUUGCUUCAAAUCUGCUCAAGCGAUCCGGGGAAUUUUGUCUUUGCACGCGGCGCGCGAUUGGUGGCGCAGCGAUUAGCGCAGCGCUCCGAACCCGGCAGAGAUCCGAGUUCGAUUCCCGCUCACGACCACCACCGGCACCGCUGACGAUGAUCUGAACCGGUGCCGGGCCUCCCCUAGGUCGACUCAGCAUCAAACCUGCAGGACGCGUCGUGGUCGAGACGGAGAGCGGAGCGGCAACCGAGAGAUGGAAUGUGUCUGAGUGGAACCUCCAAUGGGGAGAUGGAGCGAUGGAUCGUCGCAUGGCCGGAUCGUGAGAGGUGGCGGCGACGGCCUGGGGAUAUCUUCCACUCAGCAGUGACCACGUGGGCGGGGCUUGGGGCUAUUUAAAGGGACAGGGCAGGGACAGGUAGCCACAGUCGGACUCAGUCUCUUCUCAUCUCGUCUCCUCUCCUCACCUCGUCUCCUCACCUCGUCUCCUCACCUCGUCUCCUCACCUC